GAGACCUCAGGUCAGGCGGGGCUACCCGCUGAGUUUAAGCAUAUCAAUAAGCGGAGGAAAAGAAACUAACAAGGAUUC
rnacentral:rRNA from 1 species